CUUGGUCAUUUAGAGGAAGUAAAAGUCGUAACAAGGUCUCCGUUGGUGAACCAGCGGAGGGAUCAUUAAAGAGUUGCAAAGCUCCCAAACCCUUGUCAACCUACCUGUUUCUGUUGCUUCGGCGGGUGGCCCCAGGCGGGGCCGUCUGCCUCUGUUCGCGGAGGUGCCUGCCAGAAGCCCACAAAACUCCUGCGUUAUAGUGGCAUGUCUUACCAAAAAAAAGAACAUCAAACGAGUCAAAACUUUCAACAACGGAUCUCUUGGUUCUGGCAUCGAUGAAGAACGCAGCGAAAUGCGAUAAGUAAUGUGAAUUGCAGAAUUCAGUGAAUCAUCGAAUCUUUGAACGCACAUUGCGCCCGCUAGUAUUCUGGUGGGCAUGCCUGUUCGAGAGUCAUUUCAAUCCUCAAGCUCUGGCUUGGUGUUGGGGUUCUACGGCUCCUGUAGGCUCCAAAGACUAGUGGCGGGCUCGCUAUAACUCCGAGCGCAGUACAUGUAUCUCGCUUUGGAAGUGUGGUGGGUUCCAGCCGCAAAACGCCCCAACUCACAUGACAAGGUUGACCUCGUAUCAGGUAGGAAUACCCGCUGAACUUAAGCAUAUCAAUAAGCGGAGGA
rnacentral:rRNA from 1 species